ensembl:lncRNA
AUAGGUGAUCUUUCAGCUUGUUAUUGUACCCACGAACAGUGGUUUGCUCUAGAUUUAAUCUUUUUAGCUUGUAGACAAGACUGUCAGGAGGCAAGUAAGUGGUGGCGGUCAGGGAAAAUCUAAAACCUUAUUAAAAUCAGUCAGGGUAUGCCUAUUACUUCUCCUUGGUCUAAAUGCAGCUCACCUCUCAUAUAGCACGAAUGCAAUAUUUUAUAACAUGACUCACCACUCAGAGAACCAUGGCCCUCACAUCUAAUGCUUUGUGUUUAUUUACAUCAUUGAAGUGGAUCAUUGGAUCAUUUUUAAUAAUUCGGGAGCUUUUUUCUAUGACUUUUUAGGUUGCAGCAGUCCAGAAAACUAUUUUAAGAAUGUUCUUAUAGAUUACUGCAAAGACUAAGAAGUUUACAAAAUAGUGGAUGAAUUUGUGGUUGAAAGCCUUAAGUGAUAAAUGAUAACCACAAAAUCCCACAUGUGAAGAAAUACUCUGUUCUUUUUGGAAAAGGAAAGGCACUAGGGAAGAUUAGAUCUAAAGUUUUCCCAAAGGCUUACGCCCUGAAAAUUGGAAAAAGACCAAACUCUGGAAACUGUUAAGAUUUUUUUUUAAGGGAUUAGGCCUGAAAGCAGGCUGAGGGAUAACUACUCUAAACUGAGAGAUGGAUUGUGCCCAAUUGAUAUCAGAUGUCCGAAGUUAAACACCAAGUAAUCUUUCCAUUUUACUUUUCAUGAUAGUGACAGGCAAAUCAGAAUCUAUUUUUGAUGCUCUUUCAUGGCAGACACUGGAGAAUCUGUCCUGCCUUUGUACGUUUGGUGUUUAUGACAGGUCAUAUUUUCUUUGAAAGCCAUAGGGAUUGAAUGCAUACUAACUCAGGAAGUGGCAUAAAUGACCCAAUAGAGACGUUACCAGUCCCCAAAUGGUAUCUAUAGCUUUGAAAAUCUACCAAAAGAAGUAAAAUAAUAACAAUAAUCACCAUCAUCAUCUUUCACUGUAGCUGCAUUUUCACUUGAAAAUGUGUUAUUUUGUUCUUACACACACUGCAGAUAUUCACUGUUUAAUAAAAACAGAAAAUGAAGAAAAUUACAAAAAGUAAAGCAAAAAUCACUGACGGCUUUCAUUCAGAUAACUAGUUUUAACUUGUUUGUAAGCAUCCUUCCAUCUCUGGACAUACAUAAGUGAUGUCAAAUUGUGUAUCCGAGUUUACAUAUAUAGGAUCAUAUUGUGUGUAAUAUAUUUUCAUACCAUAAUCUAGUAUGAAUAUUUUCAUGGUAUUAAAUACAUUUUUGAAAAGCUACAUAGAACUCUAUUGGAUACUUAUACAUUUAGGCUGACGGAUGUUUAAGUUGUCUUCAAUUUUUUGCUGCUGUAAAUAAGACUUCAAUAAGAAACCUCUAGCAUAUGUAUUGGCAGAUUUGUGCAAAUGCGUCUUUAAGAAAAAUGAUCAGAUGUGGAGUUUCUAGGACAAAAGGAUUGCCUAUUUAAAUUUUUGAUACAUAUUAUCUAACUGUCCUCCAGAAGAGCUUCAUUAGUUACUUUCAAAACAAUGCAGGAUCAAAUUCAAUUACUUUUAUAACACCAAGUUGAUGGUUGCAAAUACCAAGUUCCAUCGACCUUUUCAUCUUUGUUAAGUUGAUGUGUAAAAACGAUAUUUAAUUGCUAUUUGUUAGUUUCUUUGAUUAAUAGUAAAAUUUUUAGUUCUUUUGUCAAUUAGGUUAUGUUGCCGUUGGUCAUCUAUUUUUCUAUUAUUGAUUUUAAAGAGCAUAUUUUUUAAAUAUAUAUGAAAGAUAGUCAAUUUUGUCCACCAUGUUUAGUUCAAAUAUUUUCCUGAAUUUUUGUUUGUCUUUUGACUUUGUAUAUAGUGUUUUUUAACUGUACAAAAUUUGUAAUCAAUAUAGUCAAAAUUUUAUGUAGUCAGUUUUAUAUUUCUGUUUAGAAAAAUACUCAGUCCUAAUAAUUUUAUGAUUUUACUUUUUGCAUUUAAAUUGCAUGAUCCAUAAGAGACUACUCUUUGUAUGAGGAAGAGAUAGGAAUCAAGAGGGUUUUUUUUUUUUUAAUUUAAAUGGCUAAAUAACUGUCCUAAGAUCCUAGUGGGAAAAAAAUCAUUUGCUCAGUUAUUUAAAACACCCUCUCAUUAUACACAAAAUUUUCAUGUAUCCAUGGUCGUCUUUUUACAGUCUCCCUACAGUUCAGUUGGCAUCUCUCUUCCUACAGCAGUAACGUCAGCUUUAAUUAAUGUAGCUUUAUAUGUUUUGAUCUAGUGAAGAAAGAACCUUUCAUUAUAUUUAAAGAACAUUUCUAGAUCUUCUUCUAAUGUAUUCUUUCAGAUGAACUGUAGAAGAAUUUAGGCAAAUUCCGAAAAAUUUCCUGGACUUUAAUUGAAUGAAUAAAUGAAUUAACUUUUUGCCCUCUGUAGUGGUUUGUGAUGUGCCAGCUUGGGUAGGCCAAACUACCUUUCCCAGAAUUCCCUUUCCUGUAUGUUUCCUGUUAGAGUGGGUCACGAGAGAGCUUCUUGGAUGAGAUUUGGAGGGUGGAGGUGAAGAAGCAGUCAUUUUGUAGCUUACACACUAUCACUAAUCUGCCGACUCAUUUUGUUGGUGUGAGGCAGCAGCUGGACCCGCAACUGUUUCACCUUCUCCCGGAUCCUUCUUCAGCUUCUCUGACUCCUGGGCCAGGUGGUGUGACUCCUGGGCCAUGGCCAAGGUCCUUAGCUUCUGCAGGAUACCACAACAUCGAGAUCGGAGAUGGACAGGACUAGGGUGCAGAAAGAAAAGUACCUAUGACACCGAAAUUAAGGGAGCACUCACUCUCAGAUUCGUGCAAGUGCCAUCCCAUAAUUGCACAAACCUGAGGGCGCAUGCCUACUUAAAUUUGCAUGCCAGGAGCCUCACUUACCUCACCCUAGUUCUAGCACAAUAUGUUGCAAUAAGAACUGACCCAGGUUUUGGUUAGUCCCCGUGGACUCCUGAUAUUUUUUGUGAGUUCCAGCCUGCUUUUAUUCUAUCCCACCUUAUAUUCAUGCUUCAGCAUCAGACACAAAGAUGAUAGCUUUGCAGAGACCGUUGAGUUCCCACAGUUGCAUGAUGUCAGAUAGCUAUAACAAAUGCCUUCACUUACCCC